rnacentral:rRNA from 1 species
AUACGGAGGGGACUAGCGUUGUUCGGAAUUACUGGGCGUAAAGAGUUCGGAGGCGGACUGAUAAGUAAGAGGUGAAAUCCCAGGGCUCAACCCUGGAACUGCCUUUUAAACUGUCAGUCUAGAGACCGGAAGAGGUUAGGGGGAUACCUAGUGUAGAGGUGAAAUUCGUAGAUAUUAGGUGGAACACCAGUGGCGAAGGCGCCUAACUGGUCCGGUACUGACGCUGAGGAACGAAAGCGUGGGGAGCAAACAGGAUUAGAUACCCUAGUAGUCC